rnacentral:lncRNA from 1 species
AUGUCAGCCUGGAGCGCAUCCAUUGUCUCCUCAAACUCCUUCUCCUUCUUCCGCAGCAGAGUCUGGGUCUUCUCCAGCCGAGUUUGGACUUUCUCAAUGCUCUCAUCUGCAUCUUUGGCAGUGCUGUACAGCUUCCUCUCCAGGAGGCUGAGCCGCAGGUUCACCUCAUUCAGCUCCUCUCCCUUAAUCUUGAGUGACUUCUUCAACUCCUUGAUAACUGUCUUUCGAUCUUCAAUCUUCAAACCUAGGCCUUCAGCAUCUGUGAUCUCUGCACGAAGGGCUGCAGCCCGAAGCUCAACCGGAGGAGGCUUGCUGGGGGGCUGCUCAGCAUCAUACUCCCCUUCCUGCAUAGCUGUGGCCAGCUUGUUCAUGGUGCUGAUGAGGAUGGUGCAUGACUGGUGCAGACACUCAUAGGGGCUGCUGGACAGGCUCCCAUAAAUCUGUUCAUUUGCUUUGAAAGCCAGCUCCUCCAGUGCAGCCACAGGUAGCCCCUCAUUCUCUGCCAGGGGGCCAAUGAGCUGAGCAGCAGCAGCUGUCUCUUUUUACAGCACAGCCACCACCCAUGUCAAGUGUUUCCUGCAGUCUAGGAGUGUGUCUGAUACCUGGGAUCCAAAGGCCAGUGCAGCUGGGAUUCCAGGAGCAUCUGUCCCUGGCAUUCGCCUUCGGAUCUUCUUGCAGAACUGGCGGAUGUCACUGCAUGAUGUUUCUAGGUCCCGAAGCAGAAGGGCAAGAUCUGUAGCCUCCUGCCCACCCUGCAAGAAGUCACGCAGCCGCCCCACCUCCACGCUCAUGCAGUCCAGGGCACUCUGGGUGAACUUAAUGUGGUCAGCCAGCUGCAUGGUACAGUCCUCAGGCUGUUAAGCAAGGUGGAUGCUAUAUAGAUGCUGGUAGUAUUUGAUGGCCUUGGUGACAGCCUCCAUAUUGACAGCUUCAUCCAGCUGAUCCUUGUGCAGCAGCUCAAUGAGGAAAUUUAAGGAGUGCUCAUGGGCACUUAUCUCAGGGUAGAGGCUGCCCAACUUCUUAUACACAUCCACAUUGCACUGAGAAAGGGCAUGCUUAUAGUGGUGCAGUGUGCCCUGCAACAGGCUCAGCGAGUAUACCAGUCCAGUAGCAAAGCUGAGUUGCUCCCCUGCAGCUCCUCGAAGUCCAGGCCGCUCCGAACAGUUCUCACUUAGUUCAAGUUUCUCUUGGGCCUGCUUCCAGAUCAGCUCUGCCUUGCAAAUGAGACGAGGCAUAAGCAGCAACACCAGGACACAGUCAUGGUCCCCACCUGGCCAAAGGAAGCUGUCAGGCAUGAAGGCUGUCAGGAGGGACAUGUGCUGGUUGGCCUGGGCCACCUCUAUCCGUCUCAACUCCAUCUCAAUUGCCUUAGCAUGUGCCUUAGUCUCAGCAAACUUGAUUUUGAAGUCAAAAGUCUCUGGAGGUGGCUGCUGCUGUCUCUCCACAGAUGCUUCCCGAUGGUUUGUCAGUUCCCGAUUCACAUCCUGCAGGUGGGCGGUCAGCUGGCGGUACUUCUUGAUGGUUUGCUGGUAGUCUGCAACUGUCUCUUGGGCUGCCUCCACACAUUUCUGGGCCUCACGCACUCGGGCACCUGCCAUGUCCAGCUGCUCCCACAGCUCCAGUUCUGUCUUGUAGGGAACGGGAAGGGGACGUUACCAGAACCUCUGCAGUGAGUCCUGGUCUCCUGUGAGCCAUGGCAGCACACAGCGAAUUACAGGAAAGGUAGAAAAAUGAGACUGAGAAGAAGGUGAGCUUUGGGUCUGAUCAGUGCUGCUCUGGGCGGCAAAGACAAAAGCCCCCAGCUUACCACACCUUUUAUUCAGUACCUUGUAACAAAUGACUUGCAGAGAAUUCAGUACAUCGGGAGAAACAAAUGUAACAAAUGACUUGUAGAGAGUUCAAUAGUUCACAUUGGGAUAAACAAGGUGUAACAAAAGGCUUGCAGAGAGUUCAGUACAUCUCGGGUAAACAAGAUGUUAACAGUCCAAGAACAGUGAGGAACUGAGCAGAUGUUUGUUCUCCCAGGAUAAUUUCAGCUCCCAGGAUGUUUCUUGUCGUGUAGAAUCACAGCAUCACUGGAUCACUGAAGUCUCAAUUGUGACCAGAGGCCAAACUGGAGUUAUUCUGUAGCUGGGCUGUAGGCAAGAGACUAGGCUAACCAAAUGAUUUUUCCCUAGAAUUAUGUAGCAUUGCUCCCAACACUGUCUCACAUGCAUUCUCCUGCAGCUCAUCAUUCAUCUCAUUCAUUGCUUCCAAGUCCCCUACAGUCUCCCUCACCUCCCGAACUUUCUCUUCCAGAUUCAGAUUCCGGUCAGUCAGCAUCUCCACCAUCUCCUCAGCACCCAGAGCAGCAUCCACCUGCUCCUUGAGCUCAUCAGUGGUGCUCUCUGCCUGGGUUAACUCCUCCUGAAGGCGCUCUCGCUGUUGCCUCACAACUUUCAGCUCUUGGUUCUUCUUUUCCAUAAGUUUCUGGAGCUUCACAUGUUCGUGCUUCUCUGAGGAAGAAAGAUCCCACAUCCUCACCAGGGCAUCCUUGAGAUGAGUGUUCUGCUCCUCAAGCUGCUUGAGCUGUUAACUGGAUGCAGCCCCACCUGAGCCCUUCUCUUCGAUCUCAGCCUUGAGGAUCUCCAAGUCUGUAGUAAGCUCAUCCACACGCUCCUUCAGGGCCUCCACCUCCUGCUGCAGAGACUCAGCCUGCUCUUCAGCCAUCUCCUUGUCCAAAGUGGCCAUCUCGAUGGCAGCAGCAGUAUCUGCCAUCUCCUCCAUGUAGCACUCCUUAGCCUCCAUUGCCUCCUUGGCUUCCUUCCAUGCCUCCUUGAGGUGCUGCUGCAGGUCUGUCUGCUGCUCCUGCAUUUUGCUCUUCCAUUCCUGCACCUGCUCCAGCUGGAUCUUGUGUUUCUCCAGCUCUUUCAGCUUUGCCUUGUCUGUUGCCCAUUUUAGUCGCAGGGUCUCCAGUUUCUCCUCCAAGUCUCGAACCUGAGCCCUCAGUCCCUCCUCCUCCUUGGAAGGGGAAGAAAGUGGGGGUGCUGCUCCAGGAGAGGUGAGGACUGGCGUGGGGAUGAUGGGUGCUGCCAAUGGAGUCUGAGCUGGGGUACUAGGCUCACUGCUGCUCAGCUCCCCUGCUGAUGCUGAGCCAGAGGGACCCAAGGAGCUACUGGCCCCAGACACCCCAGUACUGGCUGGGCGAGUGGGCAGUUUGCUAGUCUUUGCAGCUGUAUCAGCUCCCUCUCUUUUGAGGACCUUUGAAGCAGAAGAAUCAGGUGUCUCUGGAGAAGUAGUAUCUGCUCCAUCUUCAAAUACCUGGAUCUGGGAUUGGCGCACAAAGAUGCCAUGCGUUUCAUCACAAGUGAAAUACUUUCUGCCUUGGACAAUUCCAUCAUUCUUGCCCUUUGCUUCAUCCAGGAUAACACCUACCCAUUUGCCAGUGGCAAAGAGUGUGGAUCCAACAUAGGCCACAGUGCCUCGGUGGCCUUUUCCAAUCACCUCCACACGGGAGCCUACACACAGAGGCCGGGCACUUGCCUCCACACUCAUCCUGCUGCUACUAGGUGUCCGUCCGGUCAAGGGCUCCGCGCCCACCUCAGGUCCCACCGGCGACCGACGCCCAAGCCCCUGCCAGCCCCUUCCCUGGUUCUUCUUAACAAAUAAGGGUACUCCUACCUAUUAGUAACUUGCCUUUAGCAUCUGUCC